UACGGAGGGUGCAAGCGUUGUCCGGAAUCACUGGGCGUAAAGGGCGCGUAGGCGGCCUGAUAAGUAGGGGGUGAAAUCCUGCGGCUUAACCGCAGGGCUGCCUUCUAAACUGUCAGGCUAGAGCACAGUAGAGGCAGGUGGAAUUCCCGGUGUAGCGGUGGAAUGCGUAGAGAUCGGGAAGAACACCAGUGGCGAAGGCGGCUCACUGGACCGGCAUUGACGCUGAGGAGCGAAAGCUAGGGGAGCAAACGGG
rnacentral:rRNA from 1 species